CGACCGUCGAACACGUGACAGAACGCUGCCGCGGAGGCGCUCGCCGCCUCCUCGGCCCCACCGGCCUCCUCCCUCUCGCCCUUCCGGGCGCGUCGGUCGCUGGCCGGAACACGGCGCGGGAUGACGCCAAGGAACACGGUAAAGCCGAGGCGCCGGCGGGCCGCUCGAGGUCUCCGCCGGUUGCCGAGGCCAACAGAAAAAAAUACGACUCUCGGCAACGGAUAUCUCGGCUCUCGCAUCGAUGAAGAACGUAGCGAAAUGCGAUACGUGGUGUGAAUUGCAGAAUCCCGUGAACCAUCGAGUCUUUGAACGCAAGUUGCGCCCGAGGGACCCUCCCGAGGGCACGCCUGCCUCACGGGCGUUAGAAGCCCAUCCACGCUCGGCUGCCCGACUAGCGGCAGAGAUGCGGACAUUGGCCCUCCGAACCGCGAGGCGCGGUGGGCCUAAGUGUGCGGCCGUAGUACGUGGCCGGGAGCGGCGAGUUGUGGGCUGCUGCGCACGCCGCCCCGAGCCCCGUACCGACGCAGGGCCUUGUACGACCCCCUGACGAGGAGCAAGCCGCCGCGGCUCCGGCCGCGCGGCGCCUUCGGACCGAUACCCCAGUCAGG
rnacentral:sRNA from 1 species